UACGAAGGGAGCGAGCGUUGUUCGGAAUCACUGGGCUUAAAGCGUGCGUAGGCGGGUAGGGAAGUCAGAAGUGAAAUCCCUGGGCUUAACCCAGGAAUUGCUUUUGAAACUCCCUGUCUAGAAACCGAGAGAGGUUAGCGGAAUAUCCAGUGUAGAGGUGAAAUUCGCAGAUAUUGGAUGGAACACCAGUGGCGAAGGCGGCUAACUGGCUCGGUGAUUGACGCUGAGGCACGAAAGCGUGGGUAGCAAACAGG
rnacentral:rRNA from 1 species